rnacentral:rRNA from 1 species
CCUACGGGUGGCAGCAGUGAGGAAUAUUGGUCAAUGGGCGAGAGCCUGAACCAGCCAAGUCGCGUGAGGGAAGACGGUCCUAUGGAUUGUAAACCUCUUUUGCCGGGGAGCAAAAAGCGGUACGUGUACCGCAUCGAGAGUACCCGGAGAAAAAGCAUCGGCUAACUCCGUGCCAGCAGCCGCGGUAAUACGGAGGAUGCGAGCGUUAUCCGGAUUUAUUGGGUUUAAAGGGUGCGCAGGCGGCGAGUUAAGUCAGCGGUAAAAUUUCGGGGCUCAACCCGGGCCUUGCAGCGCGAACUGGCGUGCUUGAGUCCGCGGAAAGCAGGCGGAAUUCGUCGUGUAGCGGUGAAAUGCUUAGAUAUGACGAAGAACCCCGAUUGCGAAGGCAGCUUGCUGCAGCGGAACUGACGCUGAUGCUCGAAAGCGCGGGUAUCGAACAGGAUUAGAUACCCUGGUAGUC